rnacentral:rRNA from 1 species
UGAUUUGUUGGACGCUAGCGGCGGAUGGGUGAGUAACACGUGGGCAAUCUGCCCUAAAGACUGGGAUACCACUUGGAAACAGGUGCUAAUACCGGAUAACAACAUGAAUCGCAUGAUUCAAGUUUGAAAGGCGGCGUAAGCUGUCACUUUAGGAUGAGCCCGCGGCGCAUUAGCUAGUUGGUGGGGUAAAGGCCUACCAAGGCAAUGAUGCGUAGCCGAGUUGAGAGACUGAUCGGCCACAUUGGGACUGAGACACGGCCCAAACUCCUACGGGAGGCAGCAGUAGGGAAUCUUCCACAAUGGACGCAAGUCUGAUGGAGCAACGCCGCGUGAGUGAAGAAGGUUUUCGGAUCGUAAAGCUCUGUUGUUGGUGAAGAAGGAUAGAGGCAGUAACUGGUCUUUAUUUGACGGUAAUCAACCAGAAAGUCACGGCUAACUACGUGCCAGCAGCCGCGGUAAUACGUAGGUGGCAAGCGUUGUCCGGAUUUAUUGGGCGUAAAGCGAGCGCAGGCGGAAUGAUAAGUCUGAUGUGAAAGCCCACGGCUCAACCGUGGAACUGCAUCGGAAACUGUCAUUCUUGAGUGCAGAAGAGGAGAGUGGAAUUCCAUGUGUAGCGGUGGAAUGCGUAGAUAUAUGGAAGAACACCAGUGGCGAAGGCGGCUCUCUGGUCUGCAACUGACGCUGAGGCUCGAAAGCAUGGGUAGCGAACAGGAUUAGAUACCCUGGUAGUCCAUGCCGUAAACGAUGAGCGC